ACGCUCGACACCUACGGGAGACAGCAGUGGGGAAUAUUGCACAAUGGGGGAAACCCUGAUGCAGCAACGCCGCGUGAAGGAAGACGGUUUUCGGAUUGUAAACUUCUGUUCUUAGUGAAGAUAGUGACGGUAGCUAAGGAGCAAGCCACGGCUAACUACGUGCCGGCAGCCGCGGUAAUCUGAGCGGGCUGGCAAGGC
rnacentral:rRNA from 1 species